GAUGAACGCUGGCGGCGUGCCUAAUACAUGCAAGUCGAGCGAACAGACGAGGAGCUUGCUCCCCUGACGUUAGCGGCGGACGGGUGAGUAACACGUGGAUAACCUACCUAUAAGACUGGGAUAAAUUCGGGAAACCGGAGAUAAUACCGGAUAAUAUAUUGAACCGCAUGGUUCAAUAGUGAAAGACGGUUUUGAUGUGACUAAUAGAUGGAUAUCCGCCGCAUUAGCUAGUUGGUAAGGUAACGGCUUAUCAAGGCAACGACGCGUAUCCGACCUCAGAGAGUGAUCGCCCACACUGGAACUGAGACACGGUCCAUACUCCUACGAGAGGCAGCAGUAGGGAAUCUUCCGCAAUGGGCGAAAGUUUGACCGAUCAACGCCGCGUCAGUGAAGAUGGUCCUCGGUUCGUAAUCCUCUGUUAUUAGGGAUGAACUAAUGUAUAAGUAACUAUGCACGGCUUGACGGUACCUAAUCAUAAAGCCACGGCUAACUACGUG
rnacentral:rRNA from 1 species